ensembl:lncRNA
AUAGGCUGGAUGCAAUUGUGGCCAUAUUGCUUAUCCCUAUUAAAUCCUUGUGUUUAGACCAAGGUGUAGGAUUUAGGGGUCAAUUUGGAAAUAGAAAUUGAAUGUAGUUCAGUGGCUGACAGGUGUCCUUAAUUAGCCAACGACAUUAGAAGGGUCUGGGAUUCCUUUAAAAGGAGCAACCAAACAUCUGGCAAAUAUAGUAAAAGGGAUAUUCUGGUAGGACGUAUGCCUACCAUUAGUUCUGAAUACUGGUGAGGUUUUGAGGGCAAAAUGGCCGUGAUGAUUGGAAUCGCUUUCAGCAUUUCUUGGCUUUGUUGCCUGCUAAUUGGAGGGAUAACGUGUUCUACAUCAGAAGGUGAUUGGUCUCCUGCACUGGAUUCUAAUGCAGCAUGGCUCUAUGCAGGAUCACUUCGGUCUCUAGGAUAUGGCAAUUAUAAAUCUCAAAUGCAAGCGCAACAGAAACAUCCGGCCGCCAUCCUGCGGAAGGAACUGGCCCCCAUGUCCCAGCAACCUCAGCAAGUGUGGUAUCCAGUUCAAUUGCCCCUGCAUCAGAAGCAACUGGCCGCAGAAACUCAGCAGCAGAGGCAACCGACAACUGUGCCCCAGCAAGUGUGGCAUCAAGCUCACAUGCUGACACAACCACCGACCGCCGUGCCCCAGCAAGUGUGGCAUCAAGCUCACAUGCUGACGCAUAAGCAACCGACCGCCGUGCCCCAGCAAGUGUGGCAUCAAGCUCACAUGCUGACGCAUAAGCAACCGACCGCCGUGCCCCAGCAAGUGUGGCAUCCUGCUCAAAAGCCCCUGCAGCAGAAGCAACUGGCCGCAGAAGCUCAGCAGCAGAGGCAACCGACCGCCGUGCCCCAGCAAGUGUGGCAUCAAGCUCACAUGCUGACGCAUAAGCAACCGACCACUGUGCCCCAGCAAGUGUGGCAUCCUCCUCAAAUGCUCCUGCAGCAGAAGCAACCGACCGCCGUGCCCCAGCAAGUGUGGCAUCCUCCUCAAAUGCCCCUGCAGCAGAAGCAACCGACCGCCGUGCCCCAGCAAGUAUGGCAUCCUUCUCAAAUGCCCCUGCAAACAACCGCUGUGCCCCAGCAAGUGUGGCAUCCUCCUCAAAUGCCCCUGCAGCAUAAUCAACCGACCGCUGUGCCCCAGCAAGUGUGGCAUCCUGCUCAAAAGCCCCUGCAGCAGAAGCAACCGACCGCCGUGCCCCAGCAAGUGUGGCAUCAAGCUCACAUGCUGACGCAUAAGCAACCGACCGCUGUGCCCCAGCAAGUGUGGCAUCCUCCUCAAAUGCCCCUGCAGCAGAAGCAACCGACCACCGUGCCCCAGCAAGUGUGGCUUCCUCCUCAAUUGCCCCUGCAGCAGAAGCAACCGACCGCUGUGCCCCAGCAAGUAUGGCAUCCUUCUCAAAUGCCACUGCAAACAACCGCUGUGCCCCAGGAAGUGUGGCAUCCUCCUCAAAUGCCCCUGCAGCAUAUUCAACCGAUCGGCGUGCCCCAGCAAGUGUGGCUUCCUCCUCAAAUGCCCUUGCAGCAGAAGCAACCGAGCGCCGUGCCCCAGCAAGUGUGGCAUCCUCCUCAAAUGCCCCUGCAGCAGAAGCAACCGACCGCCGUGCCCCAGCAAGUGUGGCUUCCUCCUCAAAUGCCCUUGCAGCAGAAGCAACCGAGCGCCGUGCCCCAGCAAGUGUGGCUUCCUCAAUUGCCCCUGCAGCAGAAGCAGCCGACCGCCGUGCCCCAGCAAGUGUGGCUUCCUCAAUUGCCCCUGCAGCAGAAGCAACCGACCGCCGUGCCCCAGCAAGUGUGGCAUCCAGCUCAAAUGCAGCAGAAGCAACAGACCAACGUGCCCCAGCAAGUGUGGCAUCCAGCUCAAAUGCAGCAGAAGCAACCGACUGCCCUGUGCCAGCAAGUGUGGCAUCCUCCUCAAAUGGCCCUGCAGCAGAAGCAACUGACCACCGUGCCCCAGCAAGUGUGGCAUCCAGCUCAAAUGCAGCAGAAGCAACCGACUGCCGUGCCCCAGCAAGUGUGGCAUCCUCGUCAAAUGCCCCUGAGGCAGAAGCAAACGACCGACGUGCCCCAGCAAGUGAGGCAUCCUGCUCAGUUUCCCCAGCAGAAGCAACUGGCCCCUAUGCCUCUACUGCAGAAGGAACCAACCACCAUAACCCAGCAACCUCAGCAGGUGUGGCAUCCAGCUCAAAUGUCCAAGAAUCGAACAGCCACUGAACCUCAGCAGAAGCCACCAUCCACCACGCCAGCUCAAAUUCCCCUGCAGCAGAAGCAACCGGCCACUGAACCUCAACAGAAGGAGCUGACCGCCAUGCCACAGAAGCUACAGGCCUCCAUUCUCCAGCAGCCUCCGCUCGUGUGGCAUCCAUCUCAAUUUCCCCAGCAGAAGGAACUGGCAGUCGAGCCCCAGCAGAAGAAGGAACUGGCAGUCGAGCCCCAGCAGCAGAAGGAACUGGCAGUCGAGCCCCAGCAGCAGAAGGAACUGGCAGUCGAGCCCCAGCAGCAGAAGGAACUGGCAGUCGAGCCCCAGCAGCAGAAGGAACUGGCAGUCGAGCCCCAGCAGCAGAAGGAACUGGCAGUCGAGCCCCAGCAGCAGAAGGAACUGGCAGUCGAGCCUCAGCAAGUGAGUUCCAAAUCGCACUACAAGAAUGGCAGAACUAUCUUUUCACAAAUCAGCUACACUCCUAGGGAGGCAAUGCCUGUUGACAGUGGAAAUGCUCCCAAGGACGGUUAUGUUGGCAUUGGUGCACCAAGCAUAUAUCCAACACUAGUGAAGGAUUCUGCAAGGGAAAUAUAAUGGAUUCAUCCUCUAGAAGCUCUAAUGACCAGGAAGUUGCUGGUGCUCUUGCUACUCUAGUGUGAUGGAAUCAAUAAACAACUUACUUUAAAAAAUGCCUUGUCUCUUUGAAAUGUUUCAUGUCCAUUGCUUGCUAAUUGAGAACAGGUUGUGUGCAGUCCGUAGUAAAAAUGACUACUGUUCAGUUAAUUCUUUGGUUUUCUUAUCUUUUACAUUUGCUACUGAUUAAAAUAAAAGCUUGGGUCUACAUAAGAGCAUUUGUGAUGGGGUCAGACAUUCCUCAUAUGUUCAUACUUUAGAUGUAGGCAUGCAUUGUAUACAGUGAGACUGUCAGAUAAAUCCCUGAUUGAAGAGCUCUGGGGAAGUGUACUAAAAUGUCUGAAGCAUUGAAGGUCCCUAAGAACAGUCGCCUCGAUCGUUUAUAAAUGGAAGAGCUUUGGAACCACCAAGACUCUUCCUAGAGCUGGCCGCCGGGCCAAACUGAGCAAUCGGGGGAGAAGGGCCUUGGUCAGGGAGGUGAUCAAGAACCCGAUUGUCACUCUGACAGAGCUCGAGAGUUCCAUCUCUGCAGCACUCCACCAAUCAGGGCUUUAUGGUAGUGUGGAGAGGUGGAAGCCUCUCCUCAGUAAAAAGCACAUUACAGCCGGCUUUACACCUAAAGACUCUGAAACCAUGCGAACAAGAUUCUCUGGUCUGAUUAAACCAAGAAUGAACUCUUUGGAUUGAAUGGCAAGUGUCACGUCUCGAAGAAACCUCUCACCAUUGAGUGGCCCAGCCAUAGCCCGGACUUAAACCCGAUCAAACAUCUCUGGAAAGACCUGAAAAUAGCUGUCCAGCAAAGCUCCACAUCCAACCUGACUGAGCUUGAGAGGAAUUGUAGAAACUUUCAUUUCUAAAUCAUAAUGCAAAUGAAACCCUGAGUUCAGUUUAUAUAGCCAUGGGGGAAUGAAAACAGAUGUAUGCAUUUGGUUGUGAAGACAGAUUACAUGUAAAUAAAACGACAAAAGGAAUACUAAAAUUGUCUAGGUGUAUACAACCCGAGGGUGGUCGAAAUUGUUUAAAUGUUGCAUACAUUUUUUUUUGUAUCUAGAUAUUGUGUUAAUGUCUAAACAACUCUUUUAUUCAUUGUCAGAAAUAUAUAAAUAUAGUUUUACCUGCACCUGUAUGCAGAUGAUACCGUUGUGUACUCAAUUGCCCCGCCCUGCUGAUCAGGCUCUAUCUGAUCUACAUUAGGCUUUCAUUAUUUUGCAGAACACCUUUAUUGACCUUCAAUUAUUAUUGAAUUCAUGGAAAACUGUUCUCUAGAUUACACAAAAAUGAUUCUAAUGAUUGAAGUGUACGUACCUGGUACGGUGUAUCAGUAUGUACGUUAAGUUGUCUUUUUGAAAAACAUAUUGAUGAGUUAAUUAAGAUGCUG